UACGGGCGGCUCCAGUGGGGAAUAUUGCGCAAUGGGGGAAACCCUGACGCAGCGACGCCGCGUGUAGGAAGAAGGCCUUCGGGUCGUAAACUACUGUCAGGAGGGAAGAAACUGUUAAGGUCGAAUAGGCCUUUUCACUGACGGUACCUCCAGAGGAAGCACCGGCUAACUCCGUGCCAGCAGCCGCGGUAAUACGGAGGGUGCGAGCGUUAAUCGGAAUCACUGGGCGUAAAGCGUGCGUAGGCGGCGUGGUAAGUCAGGCGUGAAAGCCCUCGGCUCAACCGAGGAAUUGCGCUUGGUACUGCCAUGCUAGAGUCUCGGAGAGGUUGGCGGAAUUCCAGGUGUAGGAGUGAAAUCCGUAGAUAUCUGGAGGAACACCGGUGGCGAAGGCGGCCAACUGGACGAGUACUGACGCUGAGGUACGAAAGCGUGGGGAGCAAACAGGAUUAGAUACCCCGGUAGUC
rnacentral:rRNA from 1 species